rnacentral:lncRNA from 1 species
UGUAACAUGUUUUUUUAAUUCACCAAAAAUGAUUUUUUGAUUUUCAUUUUUAUGACGCAUUAAUGAACAUGUGGAUGUAUGAAAGUUAGUGGGUGAAUGUGUAUAAUUACAGGGGCAUUAUUGUUAUUCCUCCUAAACUGUGGAGACUCAAUAUUGAUCCUCCUGAUGGUAGUACUGCUUCAUUUGAUGUUGAUGAGAGAUGGUGGGACCAGGUCGAACUGACUAGACUGGAUCUAUCAUCUAACGAAAUCAAACAAAUAUCUGAAGAUAUUGAAAACUUUAAUUCAUUGUCAGCACUUGAGGUCCAGUACAAUGAGUUAACAUGUCUACCUAAUAAUGUGAUCAAACUGGAUAAACUAUCUAAAAUAUUUGCAAGUCUCUCCUAUAUGUUAGGAAGGUUUGAGUCUCUUCAUUAUCUUCUCUUUGAUGUUCUCCUCUUAAUUAAAUGAAUGAGAGCUGACAUCCUCCGGAAAGGAACAGUAUUGGUCCUCUAGUAUCUCUUGUAUUGAAGAACAAGAGACCACAUGUGACGGCCAACCUCUCCCUCGUCCCUCAAGAUCCCCUCGUGACCAUACAAGUGAGAGAUCAUGUGACUUUUGAUGAUAGUCAUGUGAUGUUGUGUAG